CCUUGCAUUAGGCCUUACACCCUCCAACCGGCUCCGUUAGAGGAGUGUGACGUUUCCUCGCUGACCCGCAACCCCCUGCAUUUAGUCUUCAUUUGUCCACAUCUAAGCAGCUUGCAAGUUUUCUCCCUAAGUCAUUCAACUACAUCUCUCCUCUCUUUGUCUUCCGUCUUUUGUUUCUGCUCAAGCAGUUCCCCAUGUGUCCGAGUGAUGUCCAGGCCUGGUUUCACUCCAAAAGGAGAAAAAAGGGAGGAGCAGGAAUCAGUAAAGCUCACAGGAAACCUCCUGACCAGGCCCACCUGGAAACGGAUGCAGGAAGGAAGAAAUUAAUACAUUCUGGUACCAGGACUUUACCCCCUCCCCUUUUAGUAUAAAAGGAGCAUGAAUUCUAACUCAGGGAAGAUGGUUCUUUGGGACACUAGUCCACCAUCUUCUCCAUCUGCUGGCUUUCCAAAUAAAGUUGUUUUUCCUUGCCCCAA